CCUACGGGUGGCAGCAGUGAGGAAUAUUGGUCAAUGGGCGAGAGCCUGAACCAGCCAAGACGCGUGAGGGAGUACUGCCCUAUGGGUUGUAAACCUCUUUUGUCGGGGAGCAAAAGCCGGACGUGUCCGGCUGUGAGAGUACCCGAAGAAAAAGCAUCGUCUAACUACGUGCCAGCAGCCGCGGUAAUCCGGAGGAUGCGAGCGUUAUCCGGAUUUAUUGGGUUUAAAGGGGGCGCAGGCGGAUUUUUAAGUCAGCGGUAAAAUCGUGGGGCUCAACCCCAUCCAGCCGUUGAAACUGGGGAUCUAGAGUGUGCGAGAGGUAUGCGGAAUGCGUGGUGUAGCGGUGAAAUGCAUAGAUAUCACGCAGAACCCCGAUUGCGAAGGCAGCAUACCGGUGCACAACUGACGCUCAGGCACGAAAGCGUGGGUAUCGAACAGGAUUAGAUACCCCAGUAGUC
rnacentral:rRNA from 1 species